UACGGAAGGCAGCAGGGGGAAUAUUGCACAAUGGGCGAAAGCCUGAUGCAGCUAUGCCGCGUGUAUGAAGAAGGCCUUAGGGUUGUAAAGUACUUUCAUCGGGGAGGAAAAAACAAAACUAAUAAUUUUAUUUCUUGACGUUACCCGAAAAAGAAGCACCGGCUAACUCCGUGCCAGCAGCCGCGGUAAUACGGAGGGUGCUAGCGUUAAUCAGAAUUACUGGGCGUAAAGAGCACGUAGGUGGUUUUUUUAAAGUCAGAUGUGAAAUCCCUGGGCUUUAACCUGGAACUGCAUUUUGAAACUGAAAUACUAGAGUAUCGUAGAGGGAGGUAGAAUUCUAGGUGUAGCGGUGAAAUGCGUAGAUAUCUGGAGGAAUACCUGUGGCGAAAGCGGCCUCCUAAACGAAUACUGACACUGAGGGUGCGAAAGCGUGGGGAGCAAAC
rnacentral:rRNA from 1 species